GUAAAUAUAGUUUAACCAAAACACUAGAUUGUGAACCUAGACAUAGGAGCUUAUCGCUUCUUGUUUACC
rnacentral:tRNA from 1 species